rnacentral:rRNA from 1 species
UACGUAGGGGGCGAGCGUUAUCCGGAAUUACUGGGCGUAAAGCGCACGCAGGCGGUUCGCCAAGUUUGGAGUGACAGUUGUCGGCUCAACCGACAAAGGACUUCAAAAACUGGUGAACUUGAGGACGAGAGAGGAACAUGGAACUCCAGGUGUAGUAGUGAAAUGCGUAGAUAUCUGGAAGAACACCAAUGGCGAAGGCAAUGUUCUGGCUCGUUUCUGACGCUCAGGUGCGAAAGCCGGGGGAGCGAACGGG